rnacentral:rRNA from 1 species
CCUACGGGGUGCAGCAGUGGGGAAUAUUGCGCAAUGGGCGAAAGCCUGACGCAGCGACGCCGCGUGAGGGAUGAAGGUCUUCGGAUCGUAAACCUCUGUCAGCAGGGAAGAACGGGCACUGUGCUAAUCAGCAGUGAAUUGACGUUACCUGCAAAGGAAGCACCGGCUAACUCCGUGCCAGCAGCCGCGGUAAUACGGAGGAUGCGAGCGUUAUUCGGAUUUAUUGGGUGUAAAGGGUGCGUAGGCGGAUUUUAAAGUCAGCGGUAAAAUGUCCGGGCUCAACCCGGGCCGGCCGUUGAAACUGGGGAUCUUGAGUGGGGGAGAGGUAUGCGGAAUGCGUGGUGUAGCGGUGAAAUGCAUAGAUAUCACGAAGAACUCCGAUUGCGAAGGCAGCAUACCGGAGCACGACUGACGCUGAGGCACGAAAGCGUGGGGAUCGAACAGGAUUAGAUACCCGGGUAGUC